UGGGGAAUAUUGGACAAUGGGCGCAAGCCUGAUCCAGCCAUGCCGCGUGUGUGAAGAAGGCCUUUUGGUUGUAAAGCACUUUAAGCGAGGAGGAGGCUACUUGGAUUAAUACUCUAGGAUAGUGGACGUUACUCGCAGAAUAAGCACCGGCUAACUCUGUGCCAGCAGCCGCGGUAAUACAGAGGGUGCGAGCGUUAAUCGGAUUUACUGGGCGUAAAGCGUGCGUAGGCGGCUUCUUAAGUCGGAUGUGAAAUCCCUGAGCUUAACUUAGGAAUUGCAUUGGAUACUGGGAAGCUAGAGUAUGGGAGAGGAUGGUAGAAUUCCAGGUGUAGCGGUGAAAUGCGUAGAGAUCUGGAGGAAUACCGAUGGCGAAGGCAGCCAUCUGGCCUAAUACUGACGCUGAGGUACGAAAGCAUGGGGAGCAAACAGG
rnacentral:rRNA from 2 species